AAGUCGUAACAAGGUUUCCGUAGGUGAACCUGCGGAAGGAUCAUUACCGAUUUUAGCGAACCUGGUCGCUUUUGACCAAGGUUUCGCGAAACUUGUAUUUUAAAACCCACACUUUUAUAAAAUUUUAUUGUAUCAAUUAUGAUAAUAAAGAUCACUUUCAACAACGGAUCUCUUGGCUCUC
rnacentral:misc_RNA from 1 species